GAUGAACGCUAGCGGCAGGCCUAACACAUGCAAGUCGAGGGGUAGAACACUUCGGUGUUUGAGACCGGCGCACGGGUGCGUAACGCGUAUGCAAUCUACCUUAUACAGGGGAAUAGCCCAGAGAAAUUUGGAUUAAUGCCCCAUAGCAUUACGACUUGGCAUCAAGAUGUAAUUAAAGUUCCAACGGUAUAAGAUGAGCAUGCGUCCCAUUAGUUAGUUGGUAAGGUAACGGCUUACCAAGACAAUGAUGGGUAGGGGUUCUGAGAGGGAGACCCCCCACACUGGUACUGAGACAGGGACCAGACUCCUACGGGAGGCAGCAGUGAGGAAUACUGGUCAAUGGUCGCAAGACUGAACCAGCCAUGCCGCGUGCAGGAAGACGGUCCUAUGGAUUGUAAACUGCUUUUAUACAGGAAGAAACCCUCCCACGUGUGGGAGCUUGACGGUACUGUAGGAAUAAGGAUCGGCUAACUCCGUGCCAGCCGCCGCCGUAAUAC
rnacentral:rRNA from 1 species